AAAGUUCCCUUCGGGGAGCGAGUAGAGUGGCGCACGGGUGAGUAACACGUAGGUAAUCUACCUUUGGAUUGGGAAUAACACCGAGAAAUCGGUGCUAAUACCGAAUAAUGCAGCGGCACCUAAUGGUGACAGUUGUUAAAGCGGGGGAUCGCAAGACCUCGCGUCUAAAGAGGAGCCUGCGGCGGAUUAGCUAGUUGGUAAGGUAACGGCUUACCAAGGCGAUGAUCCGUAGCCGGCCUGAGAGGGCGGUCGGCCACACUGACACUGACAUACGGGUCAGACUCCUACGGGAGGCAGCAGUCGGGAAUUUUGGGCAAUGGGCGAAAGCCUGACCCAGCAACGCCGCGUGAAGGAUGAAAUCCCUCGGGAUGUAAACUUCGCAAGAACGGGAAGAAUAAGCCGGUGCUAACACCAUCGGCGAUGACGGUACUGUUUGUAAGCUCCGGCUAACUCCGUGCCAGCAGCCGCGGUAAUACGGGGGGAGCAAGCGUUGUUCGGAUUUACUGGGCGUAAAGGGCGCGUAGGCGGCCACCGCAAGUCGACUGUGAAAUCUCCGGGCUUAACUCGGAAAGGUCAGCCGAUACUGCGGGGCUAGAGUGCAGAAGGGGCAACUGGAAUUCUCGGUGAAGCGGUGAAAUGCGUAGAUAUCGAGAGGAACACCUGCGGCGAAGGCGGGUUGCUGGGCUGACACUGACGCUGAUUGUGCGAAAGCUAGGGGAGCGAACGGGAUUAGAUACCCCGGUAGUCCUAGCCUUAAACGAUGAAUGCUUGGUGUCUGGGGUUUUAUAGUCCCCGGGUGCCGU
rnacentral:rRNA from 1 species